GUCUCGGUAGCUCAGUUGGCAGAGCGAUAGGCUGGUAUCCCAGUUUCGCGAGUUCAAGUCUCGCCUGAGACA